AAUUAAAUGAAAUAGUGUAUUUAAACGUGCGCUGGCUACGAGGGGCGUUAACGUGAUGUUACGUGAGUGACGUAAACGUGAUGGCAAAAAAAAAAAAACGUAAACGUAACGUGAUGGCGCAAAUAACCACGAAGACGGAAGAAUAAUUCUGUUUAUUACAAAAGACUGAAGAUAUAACUGCCGCCAUCGUUUAAUUUAUUUAUUUCUACGUUGAGGACACUUUAUAAACCUACAGAGAUACCGGACCAACGAACGACCUUCACAACGGGACGGAGCUAACGUAAUUAACGUUAACGGUUACUUGGAAAUUCAAACAGUAACGGUCAUCUGACAACUGCGCUGAACCAAAGGACGGGAACAGCAACAGGAGUUUAACUUCUGAUUCGUAAUCUACACACUCUACUGGGCAGUUCAUGAAGACAGAUAGAUGUUGUGCCGACCAGGACAGUUCCUCCUACCACACCAGACUUUGCUGUAUAUGGAUGCCUGACCACUAGCACUG
ensembl:lncRNA